rnacentral:rRNA from 1 species
CCUACGGGAGUCAGCAGUGGGGAAUAUUGCACAAUGGGGGAAACCCUGAUGCAGCAACGCCGCGUGAAGGAAGACGGUUUUCGGAUUGUAAACUUCUAUCAAUAGGGAAGAAAGAAAUGACGGUACCCAAGGAGGAAGCCCCGGCUAACUACGUGCCAGCAGCCGCGGUAAUACGUAGGGGGCAAGCGUUAUCCGGAAUUAUUGGGCGUAAAGAGUACGUAGGUGGCAACCUAAGCGCAGGGUUUAAGGCAAUGGCUCAACCAUUGUUCGCCCUGCGAACUGGGAUGCUUGAGUGCAGGAGAGGAAAGCGGAAUUCCUAGUGUAGCGGUGAAAUGCGUAGAUAUUAGGAGGAACACCAGUGGCGAAGGCGGCUUUCUGGACUGUAACUGACACUGAGGUACGAAAGCGUGGGGAGCAAACAGGAUUAGAUACCCGGGUAGUC